CAUUCAGAAUAAACAAAGAACAAUAGGAACUAUUCCUUAUAAGAGUCACAGUUUCUCAGUCUUCUCCAUUUAGAGCAAUUAGGAAAGCGUCAAUGCCCCACAUUAAUACAUUUUUUUAGGAUGUGGGAGUAAAGCGAAGUAAGUCACUCACAUUUAAAAAAUAGAAAGUUGCGGGUGUGUGCUCUAUUUGUAAUUAUGAGUUUACCCCUUUAAGAGCGGAGGACGGUGUCAGAUAAAAUAGGAAAAAGAAGUCGGCUAAGCAGCAGCUGUUGUUAUAGACCAGUUGUGCUCAAUCCGUCGAUCGCAAGGUAGUCUUGGUCGAUCGCGGGACGACGUGCCAAAAAAAGAAAAAAGAAAAAAAGACGUCAGCCAAUGUUCCCUCUAAACGGUGCACGUGCGCAAUCGUGCACCGCUGAUGCAGUCUCUUCGCAGACAUUCUGCGUUGCGCUCAAAGAAAAAAAAAUCCAAUGCAAAUUGAAAGUAUAUCUUACAGCUAUUUAGUUUGUGGCAUUUCCAAUGUGAUUCAAUGAGUGAGGGAUGACUGGUUCUUACCUCCAAUGGCACAAUUCACAUCUUUCUUUCUUUCUCUUUCAGCAUGUCACGUUAGGGGUCGCCAAAGCAUGUCAUCUUUUUCCAUCCCAACCUAUCUCGUGCAUCCCUCUCUAACACCCACUGUCCUCAUGUCCUCCCUCACAACAUCCAUCAACCUUUUCUUUGGUCUUUCUAGCGCUCUUUUGCCUUGCAGCACCAUCCUGAGCACCCUUCUACCAACAUAGUCACUAUCUCACCUCUGAACAUGUCCGAACCAUCGAAGUCUGCUCUCUCUAACCUUGUCUCCAAAGCAUCCAACUUUGGUUGUCCCUCUAAUGAGCUCAUUUCUAAUCCAAUCCAACAUGUUCACACCAAGCGAGAACCUCAGCAUCUUCAUUUCUGCUACCUCCAGUUCUGCUUCCCGUUGUUUCUUCAGAGCCACUAUCUCAAAUCCGUACAUCAUGUUUGAUAGACUUUGCCCUUCGUCCGUGCGGAUACUUUUCUGUCACAUACAACACCAAACACCUUCCGCCAACUGUUCAAUCCUGCUUGGACCCGUUUCUUCACUUCCUUAGCACACUCAUCAUUGCUCUGUAUUGUUGACCCCAAGUAUUUGAAGUCAUCCACCCUCGCUAUCUCUUCUCCGUGGAGCUUCACUCUUCCUGCUCCGCCCAUCUCAUUCACGCACAUAUUCUGUUUUACUUCAGCUAAUCUUCAUUGCUCUCCUUUCCAGUGCGUACCUCCAUCUUUCUAAUUGUUCAUCCGCCUGUUCCCUGCUUUCACUGCAGAUCACAAUAUCAUCUGCAACCAUCAUGGUCCAAGGGGAUUCCAGUCUAGCCUCAUCUGUCAGCCUAUCCAUUACUACAGCAAACAGGAGGGGGCUCAGCACGGAACCCUGAUGCAGUCCCAACCUCCACCUUAAAUUCUUCUGACACACCAACGGUACGUCUCACCACUGUUAUGCUGCCCUCAUACAUUUCCUGUACGAUUCUAACAUAUUUCUCCUCCACACCAGACUUGCGCAUGCAAGUUCCUCUGUUGGUACUCUGUCUUGGGCUUUUUCUAGGUCUACAAAGAUACAAUGAAGCUCCUUCUGACCUUCUCUGUGUCUGACAUCUUUUUUUAAACGUUUUGGCAACACACAUUACUUAUAACAACAACGUGCUGCAUGGCCAUGAAUGACGGCCACACACUCUUCUUCCUAGUUGACCUUGCUUACCCCUCUUAAAGGGGUACACUCAUAUUUAUUAACGUUACAGUCCUUACACAGCCUAUCAAUGUGUUUUAUAAUGACAGCAUGCUUGUGCACUGCCCACGACCAGAAUUGUUUUUACAUAAAGGUAUGCCUCUGUCAGCAAGCAUUGUUGGCGAGCGCACAUAAGUGGGGACGAAUGAAAAAGAUUAAACCAGCAGACCAGCUGAUUGUGAAAACUUGGAACAUACUUCCCGUCACAUACCACACACUGCGGCAUGGUUUGCACGGAUUUUGCAGAGGCUCGCUAAUUUUCUCAAAAGAUAAGUGCCCACAUGGAAGCAACAACCCCCUGUGAAGCGUCCUUGAAGGGUCAUCCCCACUUUCAGCUUCAGCAGAGAUACCCAGACUUCACUUUCCCCAGCUACUUCCAGCUAUUCCGGAGGGAUCCCGAGGCGUUCCCAGGCCAGCUAAUUGACAGUCUCCAUGCCUGGAACAUCUCACCAGGGAGGCGUCUGGGAGGAAUCCAGAUCUGAUGCCCCAGCCACCUCAUCUGGCUCCUCUCAAUGUGGAGGAGCAGCGACUCGACACUGAGCCCCUCCCGGAUCACCGAGCUUCUCAACCUAUCGCUAAGGGAGAGCCCAGACACCCUGCAGGGGAAACCGAUGUCGGCCAAUUGUAUCCGGGAUCUUGUUCUUUUGGUCACGACACAUCUUGUGUCCAUAGAUGACGGUAGGGACGUAGAUCGACUGGUAAAUCGAGAGCUUCACCAUUUGACUUAGCUCACUCUUUAGCACAACGGACCAAUACAACGUCCACAUCACUGCAGACCCUGUACUGAUCCGCCUGUCGAUCUCCCACUCCAUUUUUCCCUUACCUGUGAACAAGGCUUGAGAUACUAGAUAUCGAUAUUCGAGUGAACUUCCAAUGCCUUGAAACCUCUUGAUUCAUAGUCAAUAGUAUCCUGACAACACGUGCACAAUGCUUUACCAGGCCGAUAAAUUUUGUGAAUGAAGUCGCUUAGAGUGGUAACUUCCUUCUUUCCAACAAUAUCAACGAUUUCUAAUUCCACCAAUCCCAUAGGAACUUAUUUAUGACAUAUCUAUCAAUUUUUUUCACUUGAGAGGCGUAUUUCCUCCUGAGCACCGUCAUUGUGUUCACUUGAAAAUGGUCCCAUGAUCUGCUUCGUAUACUACAAGCAUUUUCAUUGGCCAGGACGAGCACAUUCGACGAAUUAACAGACGUGUAUCUAAUCUUCCACCUCGCUUGCAAAAGUCGGACCGGAAUAGAAACGAGUGUAGAUUCUGGCACGGGUUACGGUCGGAAUGUUGCAGAAAAACAGAGAAUAUUUUUUCUUUAUCAAUGCAAUUUAAAAAGACAGACAUCUGCCUAUUAAUGGAAAAAUCACAUCUGAAACUAACAUAUUUUGCAAAUAUCUUGAGUCUAUGAGUUUAGACCUGGGGUCGGUAACCCACAACUACGGAGUCAGAAGUGACCCUUUCAUCCUUAUGUUGCUGCUCUGCGUGGCUUGGGAAACAAAAUUACAACCGUCCAAUUGAAGUGUAUAUUAUUUGUCUCCAAAACGUGAUUAAGUCAUCUUAUUAAGUCAAAAAUGUUUAAUUCUUUCUUCAAAUAUUCUGCGAUUUCAGUGAUUCUUUGGAGACGUUUGAUAGCACUUGACGUGUCAGCAGGGAGAUUAGACAGCCGGCAUGUCCGGAAAGCCCAGUGACACCAAAACUGCACUAUAUCUGAACAAAGAUUUUGUUUGUUUAAUUGUAGUUGUAAAUUGAAAGAUUCUUUUUCUUUUGGCUUGUCCCAUUAGGGGUCGCCACAGCAUGUCAUCUUUUUCCAUCUAAGCCUAUCUUGUGCAUCCUCCUCUCAAACACCCACUGUCCUCAUGGCCUCCCUCACAACAUCCAUCAACCUUUUCUUUGGUCUCCUCUCGCUUUUUUGCCUGGCAGCUCUAUCCUCAGCAUCCUUCCACCAAUAUACUCACUCUCUUGCCGCUGAACAUGUCCAAACCAUCAAAGUCUGCUCUCUUGAAUCUUGUCUCCAAAACAUCCAACUUUGGCUGUCCCUCUAAUGAGCUCAUUUCUAAUCCUAUCCAACAUGUUCACACCAAGCAAGAACCUCAGCAUCUUCAUUUCUGCUACCUCCAGUUCUGCUUUCUGUUGUUUUUUCGGAGACACCAUCUCAAAUCCGUACAUCAUGGCCAUCAUCACCACUGUAUGAUAGACUUUGCCCUUCGUCCAAGCAGAUACUUUUCUGUCACAUAGAAUACCAAACACCUUCCGCCAACUGUUCAAUCCUGCUUGGACCCGUUUCUUCACUUCCUUAGCACACUGACCAUUGCUCUGUAUUGUUGACCCCAAGUGUUUGAAGUCGUCGACCCUCGCUAUCUCUUCUCCCUGAAUAUUCACUCUUCCUCCUCUGCUUCUCUCAUAUAUUUUGUUUUACUUCAGCUAAUCUUCAUUCCUCUCCUUUCCAGUGCUUACCUCCAUUUUUCUAAUUGUUCCUUCGCCUGUUCCAUGCUUUCACUGCAUAUCACAAUAUCAUCUGCGAACAUCUUGGUCCAAAGGGAUUCCAGUCUAACCUCAUCUGUCAGCCUAUCCAUGACUACCGCAAACAGGAAGGGGGUCAGCGUAGAACCGUGAUGCAGUCUCACCUCCACCUUAAAUUUUUCUGACACACCUAUAGCACAUCUCAUCGCUGUUCUGCUCGCCUCAUACAUGUCCUGAACUACUCUAACAUAUUUCUCCGCCACACCAGACUUGCCCAUGCAGUAGCACAGUUCAUCUCUCGGUACUCUGUCAUAGGCUUUCUCUCGGUCUACAAAGAUACAAUGUAGCUCCUUCUUACCUUCUCUGUACUUAUCCAUGAGCAUCCUCAAGGCAAACAAUCCAUCUGUGGUACUCUUUUUUGGCAUGAAACCACACUGUUGCUCACAGAUACUUACUUCCAUCCUGAGUCUGGCUUCCACUACUCUUUCCCAUAACUUCAUUGUGUGGCUCAUCAUCUUUAUUCCGCUGUACUUACCACAGUUCUGAACAUCGCCUUUGUUCUUAAAAACGGGGACCAGCACACUUUUCCUCCAUUCUUCUGGCAUCUUCCCUCCCACUAGUAUUGUAUUGAAUAAGUUGGUCAAAAACUCCACUGCCACCUAAGCAAAUUGCUUCCGUACCUCCACUGGUACUGUAUGUCAUCGGGACCAACUGUCUUUCCAUUUUUCAUUCUGUUCAGUGCCUUUUAAACAUCCCCUUUACUCAUCAUUGCCACUUCCUGGUCAUUCAUGCUUGCUUUUUCUACUCUACCUUCUCUCCCAUUUUCUUCAUUCAUUAACUCCUCAAAGUACUCUUUCCAUCUACUUUGCACACUACUGGUACCAGUCAACAUAUUUCCAUCACUAUCCUGAAUCAUCAUUACUUGCUGCACAUCCUUCCCAUCUCUAUCCCUCUGUCUGGCCAACCUAUAGAUAUCCUUUUCUCCUUCUUUUGUUCGCUGUUCAGGUUCUGGAGCAGAAGUCCCAUUAACCAGGUAUAAUAAAUAUUCCGGCGGUUUUUUGCAAAUAUUUAUUUUCAUUGUUCAGUGAAAUAGUGCUAUUUUUUUCAUUGUAUUGUAAUGCCCUACUCCCCGCUGUGUGCCCCACGCAAGCCCUCCUCAUGGACCUCAUCCCUCCCGUGGAUUGAGGAGGGUCACAACUUCCUCACCAGCUCCACCACCGUUACAUCCCCAUUCAUGGCUUGCUGUGGUUUACAAACCCCAUGAUUCGAAAAUAAAAGGAGUAGGCGGUGGCAAUUCCCACUGGACAGGAUCACAUUCAGUGAGUCCACGCAGUGUGGAAGAACAUGCGGGCAGAGUUGACUUGGUCCACGGCUCGCAACAAGUAGUUCAUGGAGUGUCAUCUCUCUCUGACGCGGGAAUCCAAGGUGGGUCAAAUUGUGGCUUUCUUCCCACUACCUACCAUUUCAAACAAGGACCCGUAAGAACACUCCACCUGUCAUUGGUCCGUUCCCCAUUACCAAAACUAUCAAUCACACAUCUGUCCAAUUGAAACAUCGGCAGAAAAAUUCACCCAAAAUUACACAUCUGCUUAAGCCUGUUCCUACCUGCGCUGUGUUCUCGUUUUUUUUUGAUCCACAGCAUUCCUACCAUCAAGCCAGCAACCAAACCUCACAACUGCAUGCCAUCCUUGCCAUUACCUGCCAACCCACCUAAACCCAGCUUUCCUUUGUAAACUGCCUCUGCCUGCUCUCGGGUCUAGUGCCUCUUCAUUCAUGACACCCUAUUUGUUGUAUCGCGGCAAUUCAGUGAUGCUGGGAACACGUUACAAAGUAGAAACAUAAAUGUAAAGUUACAAUGUAAAGAGUUACUCAAAAAAUGUGUUCUUGUGACAUCAUUAGGGAUCUAACCUGUUCAUUUUUGCAUUUGAGUAGUGAAAUUAGUUACUUUGAUUUAGCUGCCGACAAUGUUCCCUCUAAGCUGCGCAACUGCACAUUUGUGCACUUGUCGCACACUCUCAGCGCAGAUGAAAACAGAUCCAGCGCAGUGAACUAGUGACUUUUUUUUUUUUUUUUUUAAACACGGCAGCACACUCCCACCCACAACGAGCUGCUGUUCGACCACACUAGGCCACAAACUCUACUUACUAGUUUCGGUGACACUGCCCCCUCCACACUUAAAUGGGUACACUCAUAUUGAAAAAAACACCGGCCACCAUCACUACUUUAGUUAGAAACAGCCUGGGCAACGCAGAGCAAAGAGAGUUAGACAUGCUGCUUAGGUUUACUCGAUAAUAAUGGUAAAAGUAAGUGCUGUUGCUUUAAUGAACGUUGGGGUAUCUGAAUAAUUGAAGAAAAAGUGGUGAAACUGGACAAGAUUUUCUCUUUUUUGAGUAAAAAGGUUUGGUCUGAAGCCAAAGUAGAAAGUGCAGGAUGAGAUGGUGUAGAAUGUGAAAAUUCCACCUUGGCACAGUCUGAUCAAGGAUGAAAGCAUAAACAAUACAGUACACAAAAAAGCUAAUUCUGUAUUUUAAAUACAGGAGGCAACAUAACAUUAACCCUAAAAACUGUUUGGGAGCAUCAAUACCCUUUCAACAUGCAAUGCUAAAGAGAUUCUGCAAGCAAUAAUUCAGUUUUACACAAAGAAAAACAGACGGGGAUAUCAAUUGUGAGUUAAAAAAAAGGAAACCAAGUUGGAAGUGACCUUUCACAUUUAUAGUUCAUAGUUGGCUUGGUUCAGUGAGCAAUGUAUUUUUUCGUUUGUUGACAUUUUCAGUGUCUGUGUACAAAAGAACAAUAUUGUUUUUUAAAAAAUAUUCUGAAGGGUAUGUAAUGUGAACCUUUUAAUGAGCCAUGUAACUUCAAUGGAUGACACUGAUUAACCACAGUGCAAAGGUCUGAUGUUGCUCACUGGUCAAAGGGGGCUGAUUCCUCACCUUUCUAAAGAAUCAUUGAGACCCAGCGAGGUGAUAUCUUGCAUGGGUCUCCACUCCGAUUGAGAUUGACUCUCAUGUAUAGCUUCUUCAAUUUUCUAAUGAUUGCUCCAACAGUGGACCUUUUUUCACCAAGCUGCUUGGCACUUUCUCCGUAGCCCUUUCCAGCCGUGUGGAGUUGUGCAAUUUUGUCUCUGGUGUCUUUGGAUAGCUCUUUGAUCUUGGCCAUGUUACUUGGCCAAGUUUGUGUCUUACUGAUUGUAUGGGGUGGACAGGUGUCUUUAUGCAGCCAACGACCUCACACAGGUCCAUCUGGUUCAGGAUAAUACGUACAUGGAGUGGCGGUGGACUUUUAAAGGUGGACUGACAGGUCUUUGAGGGUCAGAAUUAUAGCUGAUAGACAGGUGUUUAAAUACCUAGUGUCAGCUGUAUCACACAAAUAUAUCGCAAAUUAAAAAAAAAUAAAAAUAAAAAAAAAAAAAAAUCACCCAUUGUGAUUUCUGGAUUUUUCUUUAGAUUAUCUCUCUCAGUGGGCAUGCACCUAUGAUGAAAAUUUCAGACCCCUCAAUGAUCUCUAAGUGGGAGAGGUUGCAAUAUAGCAGGGUGUUAAAAUACUUGUAUAUAUAUACACACACACAUAUAUAUAUAUAUAUAUAUACAUAGACACACACACGCACGCGCACACACACACAC